GAUUCCCUGCUGUGUGCGUGGAACCUGACAGAGGAAAGAGCCAACACCAUGACAUCGGGAGCCCGGGCUCUAAAUGUGGAAUGCAUGCCCUUUAUCAAGGGAAGCAAGAAGCAUUUAGGAGGGCACCCACCUUUGGAGAGAGGGUCUCUGUUCCUUGUCAGUACACGGCAUGGCGGGGAUUUU
rnacentral:other from 1 species